CACCUCCCGAACCUUGGUUGAAGAGGACCACCUUCCCAGAAUAGAGGAGGACUGGUCUUCAGCCAAGGGUAUACGAGCAGCUGUGAUCCCCUGAUAGAACCUCCAAACAAGCUCUUUUUUUUCAUAAUGUAAAAGUUUGGGGUUUUGUU
rnacentral:sRNA from 1 species